UUGAAAGCCCAAGUCAAAUCCUGGGCAUAUCCAUGGUUGUGUGGUAGCCAUGGGCUUCCGCUCUUGAAAAAAAACAAAAAACAAAAAACAGGGAUAGACACUGGUUUGAUAAGACAACUAAGCAAAAGCAGGAGGGUCUGGUAGGAGAAAGUGGGGAAGGUGAAGAACAGGAACCUUCUCUUUGUUCUGCUACCAUCUAAGAGCAGAGGCAUGGCAUGUGAUUUCAGCAAGGGGCAAAAGUACAUAGCAGCUACUUGGAUCUGAUGUGGGAGACAUCAGACCACUCUAGGGCUGAUCAACUGGCAUUGUCAGGUAGUGGAAUGCUGGCAUUAAGAAUGGAGACAGACUUCCAAUUUCUGUGCAGCUUGUUUCCCAGCCUCUAAUACUUACUCAUGAUUGGCCUUCUUCAGGCUUUCAUAAUCCAUGAUGACUUUGUCAGUGGUGAGUGAGAAGCAAAGACUCAAAGUCCACAGUGCCAUGCAACUCUAACUCUGAUGCUGUGCUCAUGCCAAACAACAUCCAUCCCCAUCUUCUGCAUCAGAUGAGUCCCUGCCAGUCUCAAAGUUGCGGUUCACUGCCAUCGCACAGAGGAGGCCAGGCUAAAUUGAACACCAGAUUAGAAUAAGAAAAAGAAGAAGAAGAGGGAGAAGAGGAGGUGGCAGAAUAACCAGGAUAAUAACUGGAACUCCGAUCUCUGAAACUGAUGCUUUACCAAAUUCAGAGUAAAAUUCAACUUAUUGUGGCACAGAUCCCUCCCAUUCCCCCAGUUGCCAACGAAAUGAGUUGGUAAUUAAAACUUUUAUCAAACUUCUCAACAUUUAAAUUCUGAAUGGAGAAUUCUAGGAGUAUCAAAGUGAAAACACAGUGUUUGGGAAAAAACUAAAAUUAGUGGAACCUAAGUAAUAAGUACUGGG
rnacentral:lncRNA from 1 species